rnacentral:rRNA from 1 species
CCCGCACAAGCGGUGGAGCAUGUGGUUUAAUUCGAUGAUACGCGAGGAACCUUACCUGGGCUCAAAUGUAUGUUGACGUAUUCUGAAAGGGAUACUUCUUCGGACAAUAUACAAGGUGCUGCAUGGUUGUCGUCAGCUCGUGCCGUGAGGUGUCGGGUUAAGUCCCAUAACGAGCGCAACCCCUAUCAUUAGUUGCCAUCAGGUCAAGCGUGGGGACUCUAAUGGGACUGCCGGUGUUAAACCGGAGGAAGGUGGGGAUGACGUCAAGUCCUCAUGGCCUUUAUGACCAGGGCUACACACGUACUACAAUGGCCGAUACAAAGGGCAGCGACACUGCGAGGUGAAGCCAAUCCCGUAAAAUCGGUCUCAGUCCGGAUUGGAGUCUGCAACUCGACUCCAUGAAGUUGGAAUCGCUAGUAAUCGUGGAUCAGCAUGCCACGGUGAAUACGUUCCCGGGCCUU